rnacentral:rRNA from 1 species
GCGGGAAUAMAMSGSCCCGUGAAACGGGCCGCCCCCGCCAGARGACCCUUAACUCUGUUUCUAUAAUGUUUCUUCUGAGUAAAACAAGCAAAUAAAUUAAAACUUUCAACAACGGAUCUCUUGGCUCUGGCAUCGAUGAAGAACGCAGCGAAAUGCGAUAAGUAAUGUGAAUUGCASAAUUCAGUGAAUCAUCGAAUCUUUGAACGCACAUUGCGCCCGCCAGUAUUCUGGCGGGCAUGCCUGUUCGAGCGUCAUUACAACCCUCAGGCCCCCGGGCCUGGCGUUGGGGAUCGGCGGAGCCUCUCUGUGGGCACACGCCGUCCCCCAAAUACAGUGGCGGUCCCGCCGCAGCUUCCAUCGCGUAGUAGCUAACACCUCGCGACUGGAGAGCGGCGCGGCCACGCCGUAAAACACCCAACUCUUCUGAAGUUGACCUCGAAUCAGGUAGGAAUACCCGCUGAACUUAAGCAUAUCAAUAAGCGGAGGAAAAGAAACCAACAGGGAUUGCCUCAGUAACGGCGAGUGAAGCGGCAACAGCUCAAAUUUGAAAUCUGGCUCUCGGGCCCGAGUUGUAAUUUGUAGAGGAUGCUUUUGGUGAGGUGCCUUCCGAGUUCCCUGGAACGGGACGCCAUAGAGGGUGAGAGCCCCGUCUGGUUGGACGCCGAACCUCUGUAAAGCUCCUUCGACGAGUCGAGUAGUUUGGGAAUGCUGCUCUAAAUGGGAGGUAUAUGUCUUCUAAAGCUAAAUACCGGCCAGAGACCGAUAGCGCACAAGUAGAGUGAUCGAAAGAUGAAAAGAACUUUGAAAAGAGAGUUAAACAGUACGUGAAAUUGUUGAAAGGGAAGCGCUUGUGACCAGACUUGGGCUUGGUUGAUCAUCCGGGGUUCUCCCCGGUGCACUCUUCCGGCCCAGGCCAGCAUCAGUUCGCCCUGGGGGACAAAGGCUUCGGGAACGUGGCUCUCUCCGGGGAGUGUUAUAGCCCGUUGCGUAAUACCCUGUGGCGGACUGAG